UUAACUUUCCUUCUCUUCUUAAAGUGAUAAUUAAAUCCUGCAGAAGGCCUGAUAUGUAUCAAUAUUCUUCUCUCUCCACUCAUACAGGGAACAGAAUUAUUUCUCCUAGAAAAGCUUGUGAGUAGAGAUGGGAGCUGGAUCUAGACAACGCCUAGGGAUUGAAUUUGCUACUAUGGAAGAAGUGGAACGGGGCUUAGAGGUCAAACCCCCUCUAAUUUACAAGAAGAAAGGAAGUGACCUGCCCAAAAACACACUGUAUUUAGGUUUGUUUCUAUGAAGUAAAAGAGUAUGGACAUACUGGAUGCAUGAGGACCAGACAGAGACUCAGAGGCAAGUUCUAGAGUUCACUGGACAACAGGACAGAACUCUGGCUCAGAUGCAACUCCUUCCUCAACAACUGGAACAUUGGACCCUUAAGUAGCCACUGUGCCUAGGGGUAGAUUUCGGUCCCAGAAUUCUACCAAAAGCAAACAUAAGCCACUUUCUGGCCAUGGCAGUGAUCUCAGUUUGUAAGGGUUAUGGCCCUGGUAGUUGAAAAUAGAGGCAAAGGUAUUCAAAGAAGAAGGACUAGAAGAUCAGGUGAUUACAGAGGGAGUUGGUAUGGACCCAACCCACAAUCCUUUCUCCAUUUCACUUGCCUCCUCUCAAAACCCAUCUGCACCUAAAGACCUGAGUGUUCAGCUAGGAGAAGAUAUGGACCAACAAGACUAUACUAAGGCUUUGGUGUACUCCAAUAAGGAUUCUUUCCCAACUCCACCUUAUCAAAUGGCCUGUCCUAACAGCUAUCCUU